rfam:Gossypium raimondii Chr03_contig_478, whole genome shotgun sequence.
AUUCCAUGAUAAGGGCACUUUUGUAAUAAUUCUUUGUACCUUCCCCGUGCCUCAUACAGGGACCCAUCUUCCAUUUUUUGGAAGGCAGUGAUCUCAUUCCUCAACUU